GGUAAAAUGACUGAGGUUAGAGGUGAUGGAUUGUAAAUCUAUUAAGGAGAAUAAUUCUCUUUUACCA
rnacentral:tRNA from 1 species